AACGAACGCUGGCGGCAUGCCUAACACAUGCAAGUCGAACGAGACCUUCGGGUCUAGUGGCGCACGGGUGCGUAACGCGUGGGAACCUGCCCUUAGGUUUGGAAUAACUCCCGGAAAGGGGUGCUAAUACCGGAUAAUGUCUUCGGACCAAAGAUUUAUCGCCUUUGGAUGGGCCCGCGUUGGAUUAGCUAGUUGGUAGGGUAAAAGCCUACCAAGGCGACGAUCCAUAGCUGGUCUGAGAGGAUGAUCAGCCACACUGGGACUGAGACACGGCCCAGACUCCUACGGGAGGCAGCAGUGGGGAAUAUUGGACAAUGGGCGAAAGCCUGAUCCAGCAAUGCCGCGUGAGUGAUGAAGGCCUUAGGGUUGUAAAGCUCUUUUACCCGGGAUGAUAAUGACAGUACCGGGAGAAUAAGCCCCGGCUAACUCCGUG
rnacentral:rRNA from 1 species